CUCUGCCACCGAAUACAUUAGCAUGGGAUAAUGGAAUAGGACCCUGUCCUCCUAUUUUCAGUUGGUUUUGGCAGCGCGAGGACUAGGGUAAUGAUUAAUAGGGAUAGUUGGGGGCAUUAAUAUUUAAUUGUCAGAGGUGAAAUUCUUGGAUUUAUGAAAGAUUAACUUCUGCGAAAGCAUCUGCCAAGGAUGUUUUCAUUAAUCAAGAACGAAAGUUAGGGGAUCGAAGACGAUCAGAUACCGUCGUAGUCUUAACCAUAAACGAUGCCGACCAGCGAUUAGGAGACGUUGAAUACAAAACACCACCAUCGGCGCGGUCGUCCUUGGCGCGUUCGUGUUCACGCACGGGCGCGCGAGGGCGGUUUAGCCCGGUGGCACCGGUGAAUGACUCCCUAGC
rnacentral:rRNA from 1 species